rnacentral:rRNA from 1 species
GACGAACGCUGGCGGCGUGCUUAACACAUGCAAGUCGAACGGAAAGGCCCUGCUUUUGUGGGGUGCUCGAGUGGCGAACGGGUGAGUAACACGUGAGUAACCUGCCCUUGACUUUGGGAUAACUUCAGGAAACUGGGGCUAAUACCGGAUAGGAGCUCCUGCUGCAUGGUGGGGGUUGGAAAGUUUCGGCGGUUGGGGAUGGACUCGCGGCUUAUCAGCUUGUUGGUGGGGUAGUGGCUUACCAAGGCUUUGACGGGUAGCCGGCCUGAGAGGGUGACCGGCAACAUGGGAACUGAGAUACGGCCCAGACUCCACGGGAGGCAGCAGUGGGGAAUAUUGCACAAUGGGCGGAAGCCUGAUGCAGCAACGCCGCGUGCGGGAUGACGGCCUUCGGGUUGUAAACCGCUUUCGCCUGUGACGAAGCGUGAGUGACGGUAAUGGGUAAAGAAGCACCGGCUAACUACGUG